rnacentral:tRNA from 1 species
GAAGGUAUAGCUCAGUGGUAGAGUGCAUGCCUAGCAUGCAUGAGGUGCUGUGUUCAAUUCCCAGUACCUCUA